rnacentral:tRNA from 1 species
GGAAGGAUGGCAGAGCGGACGAAUGCACCGGUCUUGAAAACCGACGGGCCUUCACGGGUCCCGGGGGUUCGAAUCCCCCUCCUUCCGCCA